rnacentral:rRNA from 1 species
UACAGAGGUCUCAAGCGUUGUUCGGAGUCACUGGGCGUAAAGGGUGCGUAGGCCGCACGGUAAGUCAGAGGUGAAAUCCCGGAGCUCAACUUCGGAAUUGCCUCCGAUACUGCCGUGCUUGAGGACUGGAGAGGAGUCUGGAAUUCACAGUGGAGCAGUGAAAUGCGUAGAUAUUGUGAGGAACACUAGUGGCGAAGGCGAGACUCUGGACAGUUCCUGACGCUGAGGCACGAAGGCCAGGGGAGCAAACGGG